rnacentral:lncRNA from 1 species
CUACUUCUUACUAUUUAAUUGCUCUUCUAUUUAAACUGUUGAGCUUUAGUUUUAAGAGAUCUAUCAACCCUCUCUAUGAUCAUGCUUAAAGAGAGAAUAUCCCAAUCAUAUCUUAAGAUAGAAUUUUCAAUAAAUACCGAUAUGAGGAUCAAAAAUUUAUCUUAGAACAGUGAUCACAAACUUUCAAACUUCAUUUUUGUUUCUGCAUCAUAAAUUAACGAGCCAAUCCAAUCAAACUCUCGACAAGUUAAGGUUCUUACUCUGAUCCUGACCAUAUAGUUUAGAUAAGUUUAAAGUUUAUCAAAGUCAUUGCUUCGAUAGCAGACUCUCUACAGAAGGACUCUGAUACAACAUCCAAAGGAAAAAUUUAGCAAUCUCUACAUUCCAUUGUUUAUUUUCGUAAAUCAGAUACUAGAUUAAAAUAUUAUUCUAGAUUUUUUAUUUUUAUUUUGAAAAUAGAGAGUCCUAAUAGACUUUAACUUUUAUUUAUAGUUUUAUUUUUAAUAUUUUAAUUUAUCUGAAACAUUGAAUUACCAAAAUAGCAAUUGUUCUUUUAUUAUUCUAAAGACCGAUUUUAGUAUCUACUUACGGAUUUUCUAUGAAAUC